rnacentral:lncRNA from 13 species
GUUGGAGUGCAGUGGUGUAAUCAUCAUAGCUCACUGAAGUCUCAACCUCCCGAGCUCAAGCAAUCCGCCCAACCUCAGCCUCCUGAGUAGCUGGGAUAUAGGUAUGUGCCACCAGGCCAGCUACUUUUUAUUUAUUUUUAUUUUGGAGAGAUGGGGUCUCACUAUAUUGCCCAGUCUGGUCUUGAACUUUUGGGCUCAAGGGAUCCUUCCCCCGGACCUCCCAAAGUGCUGGGAUUACAGGCAUGAGCCAUUGUGGCUAACCUCAAAUUUUUAUUUUGAGAUUUACCUCUUAUAUUGAUUACAAAUAAGAUGGGGUUCACCAAGUGUUGAUUGCCUGUUUUGUGUGGGACCUUAGGAAGCAUCAGGAGGAACACAACGAUAAGAUCAUUUGUCCCCUACAGAGCCACUUGAUUUGUUGGGGUGACAGGCAUAAGGCAGAUAGUAAGAAGUGCUUUAUAGGGGAUGCAAAGGGAAAGAGAAGAAACCGAUAGAGAAGGUAAUUCUUUCAGGCGGAACUGGUGUGACCCUGGGAGGAAGGUGGGCUUACAGCCGGGCCUUGUGGUAUAUAUAUAUAUAUGGUUGUAUCAGUCUGUUCUUAUGCUGUCAAUAAAGACAAACCCAAGACUGGGUAAUUUUUUUUUUUUUUUUGAGUCAAGGUCUCACUCUGUCACCCAGACUGGAGUGCACUGGCGCAACCUUGGUUCACUGCAGCCUCUGCCUGUGAGCUCAAGCAAUUCUCCUGCUUCAGCCUCCCGAGUAGCUGGGACUACAGGCAUGUACCACUGCACCCAGACGGAGUCUUGCUCUGUCGCCCAGGCUACAGAGUAUAGUGGUGAAAUCUCGGCUCACAUAGUUCACAUAACCUUGAACUCUUGGGCUCAAGUGAUCCUCCUGCAUCAGCCUUCCAAGUAGCUGAGACUACCGGCAUGCAACCCCUGCCUCCCAGGUUCAAGUAAUUCUCCUGUCUCAGCCUCCUGAGUAGCUGGGAUUACAGUCGUACAUCACCAUACUUGGCUAAUUAUAAUUUUCUUAUUUUUAGUAGAGACAGGGUUUCACAAUGUUGUCCAGGCUGAUCUUGAAUUCCUGACUUCAGGUGAUCUGCCUGCCUCCUCUCAAAAUGCUGGGAUACAGGUGUGAGCCACUGCACCCAGCAAUGACCUAUAAUUUAACCAUCCAAUGAGGGCCACCAAAAUACAUCCAUGUUUAGUAUUUCAUCUUUAUGGGUACAUGUUUAUAAAACCUCUUUCUUUGACUAUACAUGGCAUGAAUGUUUUCCCAUUUCACUAAAUAUUUCUUAAUAAUAUGGAUUUUUCCCUUUUCUUUCCCCAGUGACUCAACAUGGUAGAAUUAUGAUUUUGGGUGGCAUAACAGUAACCAUGGUAUGAAUAUAUUGCUUAACUCCCUUCUUAUUGUUGACACCUAACCUAGGUUACUUCCAAUUUUAUUUUUAUUUAAAUUUAUUAUUAUUAUUAUUUGAGACAAGGUCUU